GGUCAGGAUGAACGCUGGCGGCGUGCCUAACACAUGCAAGUCGAGCGGAGUACGAGAGGUGCUGCACCACUUUAACUAGCGGCGGACGGGUGAGUAACACGUGAGUAACCUGCCCUUGAGUGGGGAAUAACACCGAGAAAUCGGUGCUAAUACCGCAUAAUAUCACCGGACCGCAUGAUCCGGUGAUCAAAGGAUUUAUUCGCUUGAGGAUGGACUCGCGUCCGAUUAGUUAGUUGGUGAGGUAACGGCUCACCAAGACAUCGAUCGGUAGCCGAACUGAGAGGUUGAUCGGCCACAUUGGGACUGAGACACGGCCCAGACUCCUACGGGAGGCAGCAGUGGGAAUAUUGGGCAAUGGGCGAAAGCCUGAACCCCAGCAACGCCGCGUGAAGGAUGAAGGUCUUCGGAUUGUAAACUUCUUUGAUCAGGGACGAAACAAAUGACGGUACCUGAAGAACAAGCCACGGCUAACUACGUGCCAGCCGCAGC
rnacentral:rRNA from 1 species